UCGCCCAUUAAAGUGGUACGCGAGCUGGGUUCAGAACGUCGUGAGACAGUUCGGUCCCUAUCCGUCGCAGGCGUAGGAAAUUUGAGAAGACCUGUCCUUAGUACGAGAGGACCGGGAUGGACGUACCUCUGGUGUACCAGUUGUCCUGCCAAGGGCAUGGCUGGGUAGCUAUGUACGGAAUGGAUAAGCGCUGAAAGCAUCUAAGCGCGAAGCCAACUUCAAGAUAAGAUUUCCCACCGCAAGGGUAAGACCCCAGAAAGACUAUCUGGUUGAUAGGUCGAAGGUGUAAGUGCAGCAAUGUACUUAGCUUAUCGAUACUAAUAGGUCGAGGACUUGACCAAU
rnacentral:rRNA from 1 species